AGCGAACGCAGGCGGCAGGCCUCACACAUGCAAGUCGAGCGCCGUAGCAAUACGGAGCGGCAGACGGGAGAGUAACCCGUGGGAACGUACCCUUCAGUUCGGAACAACUCAGGGAAACUUGGGCUAAUACCGGAUACGUCCGUAAGGAGAAGGAGUUAUGGCUGAAGGAUCGGCGCGCGUCUGAUUAGCUAGUUGGUGGGGUAACGGCCCACCAAGGCGACGAUCAGUAGCUGGUCUGAGAGGGUGAUCAGCCUCACUGGGACUGAGACACGGCCCAAAUCCCGACGGGAGGCAGAAGUGGGGAAUAUUGCACAAUGGGCGAAAGCCUGAACCAGCCAUGCCGCGUGGAUGAUGAAGGCCGUAGGGUUGUAAAGUCCUUUCGGCGGGGAAGAUAAUGACGGUACCCGCAGAAGAAGCCCCGGCUAACUUCGUGCCAGCAGCCGCCGUAAAAC
rnacentral:rRNA from 1 species